rnacentral:rRNA from 1 species
UACGGAGGAUGCAAGCGUUAUCCGGAAUGAUUGGGCGUAAAGCGUCCGCAGGUGGCUGUGUAAGUCUGCUGUUAAAGAGUGAGGCUCAACCUCAUAAAGGCAGUGGAAACUACAUGGCUAGAGUGCGUUCGGGGCAGAGGGAAUUCCUGGUGUAGCGGUGAAAUGCGUAGAGAUCAGGAAGAACACCGGUGGCGAAAGCGCUCUGCUGGACUGCAACUGACACUCAGGGACGAAAGCUAGGGGAGCGAAUGGG